rnacentral:rRNA from 1 species
UACGUAGGGGGCAAGCGUUGUCCGGAAUCAUUGGGCGUAAAGCGCGUGUAGGCGGCUCGGUAAGUCUGCUCUGAAAGCCCGGGGCUUAACCCCGGGUCUGCAUUCGAUACGGGCUAGCUAGAGUGUGGUAGGGGAGACUGGAAUUCCUGGUGUAGCGGUGAAAUGCGCAGAUAUCAGGAGGAACACCGGUGGCGAAGGCGGGUCUCUGGGCCGAAAUUGACGCUGAGGAGCGAAAGCGUGGGGGAGCAAACAGG